GACAGAGGGUGCAAACGUUGCUCGGAAUUACUGGGCGUAAAGCGCGUGUAGGCGGGUCGGAAAGUCAGAUGUGAAAUCCCUGGGCUCAACCCAGGAACUGCAUUUGAAACUUCCGGUCUCGAGUGACGGAGAGGGAAGCGGAAUUCCUGGUGUAGAGGUGAAAUUCGUAGAUAUCAGGAGGAACACCGGUGGCGAAGGCGGCUUCCUGGACGUCUACUGACGCUGAGACGCGAAAGCUAGGGGAGCAAACAGG
rnacentral:rRNA from 1 species